GAUGAACGCUGGCGGCGUGCUUAACACAUGCAAGUCGAGCGGAGCGGCGAACGGGUGAGUAACGCGUGAGUCACUGCCCCCCUCUCUGGGAUAACAGUUGGAAACGGCUGCUAAUACCGGAUAGUGGGGGAUGACUCGCGUCCUAUCGGCUUGUUGGUGAGGGAGUGGCCUACCAAGGCGACGACGGGUACCCGGCCUGAGAGGGCGAACGGCCUCAUUGGGCUGAGAUACGGCGCAAACUCCUACGGGAGGCAGCGGUGGGGAAUAUUGCACAACGGGGGAAACCGUGAUGCAGCAACGCCGCGUGCGUGAUGACGGCUUUCGGGUUGUAAACCGCUGUCAGCCAUGACGCGGUAGUGGCAGAAGAAGCACCGGCUAACUACGUGCCAGCAGCCGCGGUAAUUC
rnacentral:rRNA from 1 species